rnacentral:misc_RNA from 1 species
CAAGAAACGAGGCUACGUGCCCCGCUCUUUACCUUGCCUACUGCACUAUCUGUUGCUUCCUGGCGGCGGUUUGCCUGCCGCCAGGGACAUUGUAAAGCCCUGUAUAAGCAUUAACAAACUGAAACAAACCGAAUCGUA